CAAGUCGAACGAGAGAUGAAGAGCUUGCUCUUCAAAUCGAGUGGCGAACGGGUGAGUAACGCGUGAGGAACCUGCCUCAAAGAGGGGGACAACAGUUGGAAACGACUGCUAAUACCGCAUAAGCCCACGGCUCGGCAUCGAGCAGAGGGAAAAGGAGCAAUCCGCUUUGAGAUGGCCUCGCGUCCGAUUAGCUAGUUGGUGAGGUAACGGCCCACCAGGGCGACGAUCGGUAGCCGGACUGAGAGGUUGAACGGCCACAUUGGGACUGAGACACGGCCCAGACUCCUACGGGAGGCAGCAGUGGGGAAUAUUGCACAAUGGGGGAAACCCUGAUGCAGCGACGCCGCGUGGAGGAAGAAGGUCUUCGGAUUGUAAACUCCUGUUGUUGAGGAAGAUAAUGACGGUACUCAACAAGGAAGUGACGGCUAACUACGUGCCAGCAGCCGCGGUAAAACGUAGGUCACAAGCGUUGUCCGGAAUUACUGGGUGUAAAGGGAGCGCAGGCGGGAGAACAAGUUGGAAGUGAAAUCCAUGGGCUCAACCCAUGAACUGCUUUCAAAACUGUUUUUCUUGAGUAGUGCAGAGGUAGGCGGAAUUCCCGGUGUAGCGGUGGAAUGCGUAGAUAUCGGGAGGAACACCAGUGGCGAAGGCGGCCUACUGGGCACCAACUGACGCUGAGGCUCGAAAGUGUGGGUAGCAAACAGGAUUAGAUACCCUGGUAGUCCACACCGUAAACGCAUGAUUACUAGGUGUUGGAGGAUUGACCCCUUCAGUGCCGCAGUUAACACAAUAAGUAAUCCACCUGGGGAGUA
rnacentral:rRNA from 1 species